CUAUCUGCCUGAUGGAGCUCCCUCAAGCCACAACAGACCUUGUAACUGAUGAAGAGGAUGAGGAAACAAUGUCUGCUGCCUUUACAGAGGUGAAUCCAGAAAGGCCUAUAGAGAGCAUGGCUGGGCAGCAGCAGGAGCGUCCCUCAACUUCCCCUGCACAGAUUGACACAUUACCAGUAAAAGAAGUUUACAAGAUUCACCUGAUUAAAAAGAUUAAACAAAC